rnacentral:rRNA from 1 species
CCUACGGGAGGCAGCAGUGAGGAAUAUUGGUCAAUGGCCGGAAGGCUGAACCAGCCAUGCCGCGUGAAGGUCAGUGCCCUAUGGGCGUUAAACUUCUUUUGUGCGGGAGCAAUAAUGGUCACGUGUGGCCAGACGAGAGUACCGUACGAAUAAGCAUCGGCUAACUCCGUGCCAGCAGCCGCGGUAAUACGGGGGAUGCAAGCGUUAUCCGGAUUUAUUGGGUUUAAAGGGUGCGUAGGCUGUGAGGUAAGUCAGCGGUGAAAUGCCCCCGCUCAACGGGGUGAAGUGCCUUUGAUACUGCCUGGCUGGAAUGCGGAUGCCGUGGGAGGAAUGUGUGGUGUAGCGGUGAAAUGCAUAGAUAUCACACAGAACACCGAUUGCGAAGGCAUCUCACGAAUCCGCGAUUGACGCUGAUGCACGAAAGCGUGGGUAUCAAACAGGAUUAGAUACCCUUGUAGUC